GACAUUGUUAGGGACACGGGGACAUCAUUGGGGACAUCAUUAGGGACAUGGGGACGUUGUUUGAGGGCAUGGGGACGUGGUUGGGGACGUGGGGACAUCAUUAGGGACAUGGGGACACCAUUAAGGGACAGGGGGACAUCGUUGGGGACAUCAUUAGGGACAUGGGGACACCAUUAAGGGACAGGGGGACAUUGCUGGGGACAUGGGGACAUCGUUAGGGACACGGGGACAUCGUUGGGGACAUGGGGACAUCGUUAGGGUCGGGGGACAUUGUUGGGGACAUCAUUAGGGACAUGGGGACAUCCUUAGGGACACGGACACAGGGCACGGGGACGUCGGGGGGGGCGUGGGGACAUCGGCACGGGGACGUCACCCCUGGGGCGGGGACAGCCCGGGGGGGCCACCAGGGAGGUGACACCGACGGCGGCCUCGGCGUCACCCUGGGGCCCCGAUGUCCCCAACACCCCCAGUGUCCCCAACAAUCCCAGUGUCCCCAGUGUCCCCAGCACCCCCGGUGUCCCCAACACCCACGAAGUCACCAAACGUCCCCAUUGUCCCCGACAUCCCAAAUGUCCCCAGUAUCCUCCAUGUCCCCAGUGUCCCCGUUCCCCCUGGUGUCCCCACUGUCCCCAUUGCGCCCGCUGUCCCCA
rnacentral:lncRNA from 1 species